UGGGGAAUUUUGGACAAUGGGCGAAAGCCUGAUCCAGCAAUGCCGCGUGUGUGAAGAAGGCCUUCGGGUUGUAAAGCACUUUUGUCCGGAAAGAAAUCCUUGGCUCUAAUACAGUCGGGGGAUGACGGUACCGGAAGAAUAAGCACCGGCUAACUACGUGCCAGCAGCCGCGGUAAUACGUAGGGUGCAAGCGUUAAUCGGAAUUACUGGGCGUAAAGCGUGCGCAGGCGGUUUGCUAAGACCGAUGUGAAAUCCCCGGGCUCAACCUGGGAACUGCAUUGGUGACUGGCAGGCUAGAGUAUGGCAGAGGGGGGUAGAAUUCCACGUGUAGCAGUGAAAUGCGUAGAGAUGUGGAGGAAUACCGAUGGCGAAGGCAGCCCCCUGGGCCAAUACUGACGCUCAUGCACGAAAGCGUGGGGAGCAAACAGGAUUAGAUACCCUGGUAGUCCACGCCCUAAACGAUGUCAGCUAGUUGUUGGGGAUUCAUUUCCUAGUAACGUAGCUAACGCGUGAAGUUGACCGCCUGGGGGAGUACGGUCGCAAGAUUAAAA
rnacentral:rRNA from 1 species